GAAGGGUUGUAGCUCAGUGGUCAAGCAUCUGCUUUCCAUACAGAAGGUGCCAGGUUUAAUCCUGGCAUCUUCA